rnacentral:lncRNA from 1 species
GUCUUGUUUAUGUUGCAUAGCACAUGACCUUCUGGGUGAUUCUUCUGUCUUGACCUGCCAUCUUGUCUCACAAGAGCUCAAAGUAGAGAUGUUUGCCACCACCAUCUGGCUUCUUUACUUGGGUUCCAGGGCUCAUGUCCUCCAGCAUAUGAGGCAGACACUUUAGCCUAAUAAACCAUUGGUAGUCCAAUUUUAUGGCCUUUCUACAUGUAUGACAGCCUUUGUUUCUCUGAUAUGUGGUUAUUUUUCAUUUGUCAUCUUAAAAGAUUUACAAAUCCCAGAUUCUACACUAGUGUUUACCAAAUAUUUUCACAUCAGACACUUCCUAGUCUUUGUUGAAAUUCUGCAUGUCUUUGAUCAGUGAAGUUGAGUUUGCAAGUUAACAGUGUGGAGUGUCAGAGAAGGAAAGCAAAGACUGAGGGAGCUGAGCUGAGCUCCAUGUUGCCUUUGUGUAUCUGGUGUUCCACCAUGGGGACAGGCUGAACCUAAAGUUUUCGUAUUGUUUUCUCCCUUUCUUGGCAGGAGUGUGGUGGUGCCUGUAAAGAAGCCACCUCCAGGUAGUCUAGCUGUCACCACUGUGGGAGCCACUGCUGCAGGAAGUGGGCUGCCAACAGGCAGUACCUCAAGUAUAUUUGCUGCCCCUGGAGCUACACCAAAAAGUAUGAUUAACACGACAGGUGCUGUGGAUUCAGGGUCCUCCUCCUCUUCCUCCUCUUCUAGUUUUGUUAAUGGUGCUACCAGCAAAAAUCUUCCAGCUGUACAAACCGUAGCCCCAAUGCCAGAAGACUCAGCUGAGAACAUGAGGUAUGAAUAGUGAUUUGUUUCCUUUAUUGUCUCUCUUUAAAACAUGGUGAAAUAUUCGGUGGUAGGGUCACAUGAGAUAAAUAUUCUUGGAAAUAUCAGUUAGCUACAUGCUCUUAAUAUAUUCAUAACUCUGCCUAACAAUGGCUCUUGGGGAAGUUACUAAAAGCCAAUGUUCUAUCUACAAAUGCAAAUUGGGGGUCUCAAUUAAUACUGCUUACAGAGCUUUUAAUUCUUUGUUGUCCAGUACAUACUAACACUCCAGCUAUUGUUCAGAUGUGUAAAGACGGCAUGGUAGGAAUCAAUCAUCUCUGAUUAAAAACUGUUUAAACCAGGAACUUUGAAAAUAAACCUGUGUAAUUUUAUGUGAUCUGUACUAUUGGACCUUGAAUACUGAAGACAAUAUUUUGUUUAUUGUUGUGAGUGGUGACUGGCAGAAUGGACUGCCUGCCCCUCAUUAGAAAGUUUAUAGAUUAGAAUUUUCCAGUUUUUAUCCAUUCCAAAUAAUGCUGUUGUGUAAGUGAUAUCAUGGGCAUCUAUUAUUGUCUGGGUGCAUGAUGUGCUACUGUGCAUAUCUGUAAAUGAUUGCUGCCCAGCCUUUGCUUCCACUGUGAAAAUACACUAUGCCAAGUUAUAUGAGUUUACUGACUUGGUGGCUGAAAAUAGAAUUCCAUUUCAUUCUAACUUGGGCCAUUUUUGCAACUUUUUGUACCAGUAUUAUUAGCAAUAUGGCCUGUCUUCACCAAUAGACGAUAUGUAUUUGGAGAUUUUCACUUUAUCAGUUUUUUCUUUCUUUUUCUUUUUUCUUUUUCUAUUUUUGGGGGGGGUGUUGUUUUGUUUUAUUUUGGGCUUCAUUGCCUUUUGUGUUGUAAAAGUCCUUUUUCCAGAUCUUUCUUUCUUCUCUUAAAAACUUUUUUUUAAGUUUUUAAAGUUAAUAUGUUAUUAUUGGCUCUGUCAUUAAGCAUGAACCUUUUGAUUGAAUGUUGUAUAUUUUUUAAAUACUUGAUAUACUGAUGCAGAACCAUGGGUCCAUGUCUAUUGAGGUGCAUAAUUGACUAGAAUGGCUUUUGUGACAAGUGUAUAAGAAGAACAGGGGUAGGAAGACAGCCAGCCCUCAUUUGAAAACCUCUUUACACCAUAAUCUUCCACAUCUGUCAUAAUCCACAUCCCUAUACUCUUGACUUGAGGUUCACAAUCAGUUCUGCUCUGUCCGUACACCUACUAAACUGACAAAAUGAGCUUCAGGUCUAAUAAUGACUGUAAGGGCUUGAGGAAUUUCUUUGCCCGUUUCUCAUGAGAGAGGUAGAAUUGUUCUCAGUGUAUCAUUCUUUUAGAACUUUUGAAUCAUGGGUCAGAAAUCCCUGUUAAAAGCAAAUUUUGUAUUACACAGAAAAGAGUCUUCCUCAGAAACUGUUUCUGCAGCAGCUUGGGCCUGUGCUUCUCUUUCACUGUUUUUAUUUCCAAACCGUGAACAUCAUACAAUCCUCUUAAAAUUUAGUGUUUCUUAACUAAUAGUUCUUAGCAGUGAGACUCAUUUGUAUAAUAUAUAAUUCUUAAUAUGUUUCUGAUUGUAUUCAUUUUUUUCUUAGAUUUUUUAACUGUCCAGUAAUUGCCCUCCUCCUGGUCCGCCCUUCCACAGUUCCUCAUCUCACUCCUCCUCCCCCUGUCUCCAAGAGGAUGUCCUCUCCCCUCCCUUCUGCCAGGCUUCCCACUCCCUGGGGCCUCAAGACUUUAGAGGGUUAAACACUUCUCCCACUGAGGCCAGACCUGGCAGUCCUCUGCUGUAUUGUGUUGGGGACCUCAUACCAGCUAGUGUAUGCUGCCUGGUUGGUGGCUCAUUAUCUGAGAGGUCUCAGAGACUGCUGAUCUUCCAAUGGGGUUGCCCUCCUCCUCAGCUUCUUCCAGCCUUUCCUUAAUUCAACCACUGGGGUCCCUUAUUUCAGUCCAUUGGUUGGAUGUAAGUAUCUACCUCUGUCUCAGUUAGCUGCUUGUUGGGCCUCAGAGGGUAGUCAUGCUAGGCUCCUGUCUGUAAGCACAACACAGCAUCAGUAAUAGUGGCAGGCCUUGGAGCCCCCCCCCCUUGAGAUGGAUCCUAAGUUAAUCACUGGACCUCCUUUCCCUCAGUCUUUUCUCCAUUUUUGUCCCUACAAUUCUUUCUCAAGUUAGCUUUCAUUUCAACUUUAUUGAGAUUACUCGUUUAUAUUGCUGAAACUCAAUAAAAGUGACUAGAAUGUACAUUUUAAUGAGUUUUUCUAGUAUAUAUUUUGGUAAAACCACAUUGCAAGUUAAGAAGAU